rnacentral:ncRNA from 1 species
AUAUAUACGGCUGUAAAGAAGUGUUUCGCACACGGGCUGGAAGUGAGG